GACGAACCACACAAACGUUAUUCGGAAUUACUGGGCUUAAAGGGUGCGUAGGCGGCGCGGAAAGUUGGGUGUGAAAUCCCUCGGCUCAACCGAGGAACUGCGCCCAAAACUACCGUGCUCGAGGGAGAUAGAGGUGAGCGGAACUUAGGGUGGAGCGGUGAAAUGCGUUGAUAUCCUAAGGAACACCCGUGGCGAAAGCGGCCCACUGGGUCUCUUCUGACGCUGAGGCACGAAAGCUAGGGUAGCGAACGGG
rnacentral:rRNA from 1 species